AGGUUCAAUCACAAGGUGGGAGGUGUAGCAGUAUUAUGGGGUGUGCAGAAAGUAAAAAUACAGGUUUGGGCCUAGAUAGAAACGGAGCGGGUCAUGGGUUAAGCCUGGCGGGUCGACCCGGAUUUGAGAGGUAUAUAAAGGGUGUGAACCCUAAUUUCCUCAUUUUUCUUUUCCUUCUCUCUCUUCUUCCCUAAAUCUCUCAAACUCUCUCUAUUCUUUCU
rnacentral:lncRNA from 1 species